rnacentral:rRNA from 1 species
UUCGACGGGGACGUAAUGACGGUACCCGUAGAAGAAGCUCCGGCUAACUUCGUGCCAGCAGCCGCGGUAAUACGAAGGGGGCUAGCGUUGUUCGGAAUUACUGGGCGUAAAGCGCGCGCAGGCGGCUAUCCAAGUCAGUGGUGAAAGCCCGGAGCUCAACUCCGGAACUGCCAUUGAAACUGUUUAGCUUGAGGACGAGAGAGGUGAGUGGAAUUCCCAGUGUAGAGGUGAAAUUCGUAGAUAUUGGGAAGAACACCGGUGGCGAAGGCGGCUCACUGGCUCGUUUCUGACGCUCAGGCGCGAUAGCGUGGGGAUCAAACAGGAUUAGAUACCCUGGUAGUCCACGCCGUAAACGAUGAUUGCUAGCCGUUGGGCAGCUUGCUGUUCAGUGGCGCAGCUAACGCAUUAAGCAAUCCGCCUGGGGAGUACGGCCGCAAGGUUGAAACUCAAAGGAAUUGACGGGGGCCCGCACAAGCGGUGGAGCAUGUGGUUUAAUUCGACGCAACGCGCAGAACCUUACCAGGGUUUGACAUCCUGCGACCGCUCUCUAACAGGAGUUUUCCCGCAAGGGACGCAGAGACAGGUGCUGCAUGGCUGUCGUCAGCUCGUGUCGU